CAGCUCUGCUGCUGCUGCUCCAGCCUGCAGGGAGACUCCAUUUGUGUCCCUGCCUGUUGCAGGCACACACAGCCUGGCUUUUCUCUGUCAGAGAAAUCAGCCCCAGGUUCUGCUCACCUUCAUGGCAACGCCUCCAACCUGAGGACCCAGGGCGUGCUGGUAAGGGAACGGCUCUCUCUCCACCACGGAGAUGGUUCCAGCCCUGUCUGAGAGGAAGGCAGCCACCUCCAUCCCUGCAGGGAAGAGGCAUGCCCGAGGGUUUUUCUCCAUUGAUUUUAAGGAACAUGAAGUUUCUAGCAGCUCUGCAUGUGCCUUGCAUCCCAGCUCUGCUCCUGGUUCAGCCAGUGGUGUCCAGGCACACAAUUCCAUCAUCCCCUGGCCCGUGAAGGAUGCCUUGGAGCAGGGUGCUUCUUGCAGGGCUAUUUUUAUAACAAAGUGGGAGUUGCAAAAAACCGGGAGUAACACCUACACUGUUUGUGUCUCCUCUUGUGUUCUUAUCUCUAUUUCACAGUCAGUAUGUUUCACAACUUAAAAUAUGCCUCAAAAAAUUAAAGGGGGGGGGGGGAAGUUACCAACAGCGCGUUUCCAUCAUCUCCCUUGCAGAACAGGAGAUCUGCAGCAGGGGGGAUAAAAAUCCUCUGGUGGGUAUCACCUGCAGGAGAAGGCAUGUGCAGGAUGCUGGGGAAGUGCAGGAUGGGUUAUUUGGGAAGCAGUAAGAUUCAUGGGACCCUCCAAGCCAUGAGCAGGGUACCAGGACCCCGCUGUGCCCAGCCCACAGGCUCUGCACACCCACAAUGGCCACAGGAAUGAGGGAUUUUCUCACAGCAGCAAUGAGCAGCUUCUGGGCUCUGCCCUCCUGGCCAGGAGCCGGAAUGUGAAGCAAUUUGGCUGCCAAAUGUCCGUAUUUAAACUCUGUGUAAUUAUUCCCCAAGAGCGUGUUCCCACGUGGAGGAGCAGCAGCCCUCGCCGGGCAUUCUCUGACUCAGCAGAAACGGCUGGAAAAGCGUUUGCUCACUGAUGGAAAUGUGCAGAGAGCCGGCAAAGAGCAUUCACGUCUGGUGAUGGUGAGAGAUGGGACACAGGCCUGGCAGACACCUGGCACCACUUCACAGUGAGCACUGGGGAAGGAAAGCAGGAACCUGAAACCUUACCAAUAACAGAACACUGACAGUUCAGAAAGUCAAAAACAUUUGGGGCACGACAGCUGCAGAAAGCAGAGGGGAGCUGCCCAUGCUGCUGAGAUUGAAGGGGAUUUGCCACCAAUGGAAUUCUGUCCAUCCCAUAGCACACCUGUGCAGCUGGAGUGAGGAGGGAGCACAUCCUCUCCUCUGAGCCACUGGUCCAGCACAGCCCUGGAGGAGCAGCUGAGCCUGCAGCAUCCUUGGGGACACUCUGCUGUCAA